GGAGAUAUUUGUUUGUCUUUGCCAAAGAUGAUAGACUCUUUUCCUAGACUAGUGGUUUCCAAACUGGUUCCACAUUAGAAUUGCCUGGGAAACUUACAAAAAUACAGAAGCUAAGUUUCCUCACCCAGAGGUUUUGAUGAUUUGUCUGGAGUGGCAUAUGGGAAUUUCACUUUUAAAGAGUUCCCUGGAGACUGUACAGCAUAGUUUUAGUAUUUAAGUAUCUAAACCUGAAUCUCAAUAGGCAAAGACCUGGUGUCUCUUCUUCCAUGAGCUAGCAGUGAAGGCAGUGAGGGGCUGUGGUGUGAUCCAGGAGGCUGAGAAUUAUGCAGUGGGUGCUGUCACCUUGAAGACAUCAGCGUGAUCAGGCAGAUCAUCAUGGUACUGCAUUUCCUGGACACGAUCUUAAUUUUCUUAAUACCUCCACCGACAUUUCAAAUAGCGUCUCUAAUGCCCCAGAGACUUUUAUGCCCCUAAGGUA
rnacentral:lncRNA from 10 species